GUCUUUUGGAUUUUUCUCCUUGAUGUGGGUAUUGGCUGGAGGUUGUUCGUUGGAGAGAAGGAAAGAUGCAUUCUGAUGUGCAGAGGUAUCCACAGGCCUUGAUCAUACUUCAGUUCCCUGUUUUGCUAGAUAGUGUGAAACAGCAUCUCUCUGCUGCAAGCUGACAUCAGUUAGGAGACGUUAGCAGGUGCUGCAAAUCAGAAGGAGGACUUAUUUGGUCUGGCUCUAUGCACGUUGCACUGACAGGGAUGUGAUAGGACCCAACCCAACUGCUUGUCUAAGCUCUGUGAUACUGACAGGAAUGGACCUAGAACUCCUGACUCAAAGUUGAACAUCCAACUGCAGCAACUUAGACUCCAGAAGCCAAAUUAUUGGUAAUAUGCUGUCUCUUGUUGAAAUACUACAGGUGCUAUUUUGACUGGAAUUUGUUGAGUUGCCAGGCUUAGCCCCGAGACUGAUGGUAUCCAGAAACUGGUGCCAACUGCUCACAUCCCACUGGCCUCUCUCCAUGUCUUCAUCCCUCUUGUCCUGGCAACCAAGCACUCUGCUGUUUAAUGCUGAACUUUUCAUAAUUAAACUUGUCAGAAUUUUCUAAUUAAAUAACAACUCAGCAUUGUGAGCCUGUUGAAGGAAGGGACUGUCCGUCUCUGCUUUAUCAUGAUUCAACUUCACCAUAAGCACUUUGUGCACCAUGUUUGGGCUUCCCAACGUAAGGAAGAUAUAAAACUGUUAGAAAACAUCCAAAGGAGGAGGCUGUGAGGACAAGAUGUGUGAGGAGCAGCUGAGGUCCCUGGGUUUGUUCAGCCCAGAACAAAGGAGUCUGUGGAGAGGCCUCAUGGUGGCCUACAGCUCCUUGCGGAGAGCAAAGGGGCAGUGCUGAGCUCUGCUUUCUGAUGACAGUGACAGGAUCUGAAGGAACAACACGGAGCUGCAUGGGAUGGUCAAGUUGGGCAUUAGGAAAAUGUUCUUCACUGAGAGGAUGUUUGGGCGUGGAGUGGGCUCCCUAGAGCAAUGUGCACAACCCUAAGUCCACUGGACUUCAAGAAGUGUGUGGACAACCCUUUCAGAAACAUGAUUUGAAUUUUGGUGGCCUUGUGUGGAGCCAAGAGGUGGACUCAAUGACCAUUGUGGGUCCCUUCCAACUGGACGUAUUCUAUUGUUCUAUGAACUCUGUGGGAAGAAAAUGUUGUGCUAUAGAGUACUUUGUAAGCAAUACUGCAGAAAGCCUCUUAGCUUCAAAUAAUUUCCUUGAUAUGCAGGUAGGCAUUGUAUAUUACUGAGACCCUGUAACUCUGUUGUGGCUAACAGUAACGGACUGUGCAGCUCUUCUGCUUUCCUACUGUUAUGAAGGCCUUCUGAUGUGGGUGGCUCUAGGGGAAGUCUCCGAUGUCAGGUCCAUCAUUAAUCCGGACUGGAGAAUGUUCUUGAAAUUUCACAUAGGAUGGAUUGGGGGCUCUAGAUUUUCUUGAGGUGACCUGGAUGGGUGACAGUUUUGGGACAUAGCCCACAACUGAUCUGUCCAGAGCAUGGCAGCUGCUGCAAGAGCUGCUAUUUCUGUCACUGCACAGGCACAGCACAGCGUAAAUUUCAUUGCAGAACUUCUGAGGUGGCUUGUCCGAAACCUUGACUCUUCCUGAAUAUCAAAUGAAUAGGCACUGGAACCAAAUUAAAUUUUCAGAUAUUGAUUUUUCCAGCCAGCUUGACUAAUUUCUUUCUCUUGAAUGUGGAGAAUUUGCAACUAGUUUACCAUGCUGUUGAAUGUUCUGCCAGUAUGCAAGACUCUGAGCCUUUAAGGUGUUUGGCAUUGCAAGGAAUCAGACCCCAAAUUAAUUGACUAAGAGAAUAAUUUCUUUGUUAUUUAUCAUGAAGCGUGAAUUUGGGUUUCUUUCAAAAAACAUCAAAUCUAAAUUACUUCUAUUUUAAGCAUUUUACAUAACAAAAUGUAAUCUUAGCUUCGCAUUUUCUAUUUCAUUUAUUUCCUUUAUUGUCACGUACUCUAUCAGUAAGGCUACAGUAGGUGAUGUAUUUAAUUAUAGGUAUGUUUAUUUAACAACUUCAAAAUGAUAUGUAGCUGUGUUUACGUGAUAUCAAUCAGUGGGAUAAAUGCACAAGUGUUUCUCUAACUUCUCAAACCAUCAAUAAAACCAAAAGCCCAUUUUUUUCUGGUUGUGGAUCAUAAAAUUUCAACUGCAUGGGUAUUAUAUGAACAAUAUGAAGGUCAUCACCAUUAGCCUGUAUGCAAAAGCCCUCUUCAGCAUGUUUAAACAAAGCUGAUGUCCAUUCAACCCUGUAUAAUACUUGAACACUCCUGCCUUUUACUGCAGCCAAAGCUCUGGUAACUCUCCAAUGUGGCUUGAAAAAGAAAACUGUAUGCCUAACAUCUGAAUUUAAUGGCCUGUUUAUUUUACUCCAGAUUGCAUUCACGUUGUUCAUUGUUGCAAUCUGAGCAACUUGAGCUUCCUUAUGCAGAUGUAGAGGAAUACAUCUGGGAGAGGUUGUCAAUGUUCUGGGCUCUGGUUUCCACCAACAACUUGAACAAAAAUGCUGCAAGUAUGAAGUAAUGGAAGCAAGAAGAGGGCUAGAUCUUAGUGUAGAUGCUGAGCUUGAAUAUGAAAAGCAGUCUUUAGAAGUCUGCACUAAAAGUAAAAAUUAACCUCCUUAGACCCAGCUUUUGUUGCAGAGCCUGGAAGCUGAAGUUCAUUCCUGCAUAGAGGGCUGUGUGUGUUCAUGCAAUGGCUUUGCAGUGUGGGGUUUUGUAUGCUGCAGUUCACUGUGGUUUGGGACAGGACUCAUCUUUUGGUAUUCGUGCAUUGAUUGACAAAAUCUGGUAGUACAAAUGGUAAGGGAACAUGAAUGUUCUGCAGAG